AUCUAGGUGAUGAGUCCGAAAUAAGACGAAACGUGCGUCAUGGAU
rnacentral:hammerhead_ribozyme from 1 species